rnacentral:misc_RNA from 1 species
GGAAUGUUUCUAAAUAAAAAGAACAGGGUAUAAUUGAAAUUUUAUAAAUUGUAUAAGGAUAAAAUAUGAAUACAAAAAUUUUAACUAUCUCAAACCACCGAUUUGGUGGAUUGAAAACCUGUGGUAGAGUGAUGGUUAAGAAACCCAAAACCUGUAGUAGAGUGAUGGUUCAAGAACAAUCAAAACAAAUGAGGAUAGAAAUCAUUCGAUACAUUAUGAAACAAUUAUCUAAACAUAGUGUUAGAGAUUAGAUGUUUUAGUAGUUGAA